AUAUAGAGGUUUGACAUAUUAGAGAUAGCGCAUCAGGCAUCCUGUUUAUGUUUGUAAUGUGGGAACUCUUAAUUCAAUUGCGAUUUGUCAAAACAACAAAUUCAAUCGACGGGAUCCACGUUUAUUAACAUCUUCUAAUGCAACAGAAUGUAAAAUCUAGGCAAAAUGUGAUGGGGCGUGACAGAGUCUCAGGUUUUGUUGCUAUAAAAGUGUUAACGAAACAGAGGAGGAGAUAAGAGCAGCUGUUGCCGUGAAGAAAACCUCAUUCUUCUGAGAAUCUCUGAGCUUUUAUGGAAACACAGCAUUCAGCCAUGAAGUUUCAAAUCCUGGUUUUUCUCCUGCUGCUGACUUGCAUGUAUCCCAGUGUGGCACAAGGUUCCUAUGAAAACUGCUGUUUGAAUUAUGCAAAAGUAAAGAAGAGCAUCAGGAGACAUGUCGUGAGUUACAGAAUGCAGGA